CAAGUUGGCACUGUAGAAUAUUGAGGAAAGGAUGGUCUUAUUGCAAAGAUUUUCAAUAAGACCAUCCUUUCCUCAAUAUUCUGUGGUGUCAUCUUUG
ensembl:miRNA